CAGGCACAGCGACCCAGGACCCCGGUAAGUCGGAGAAGGCAUCGGACACAUGUAUGUGAGUAUAUGUGUGAGCGUGUGUCUGGCUCUCCCCAAGUCUUGCGCCUGCCUCCAGCCGGGAUUGCAGGAUGAUCUGAGCAGUAGUGAUGCCUCACAUCUCACUAUUCCCUGCUAAUAUGCCAAUGGUCGCCAACACCCAAGGUUGCUCUCAAGGAAAGGAGGAAAGAAAUUAUCUUCUCAAACUGCUCUCCAGCCGGACAUUUGACCCUGACACCCACCGAUGACACUGAAGAACACCCCGUUGAAGCGGCUAAACGCCUCACAAUUUCCUGUCUUCUCUUCCCCCAGGCGGCCCCGGCGCACCGCCGCCGAGCGAUCUUAUCGCCGUGCGAUCAUUAUUCAUCGGUGACAACCAGAGAUGCAGCGCUCCUAAGUGAGUGUGACAGAUUUCAAACGCGGGGCUGCAGCGUAUCCAGCCUCAGACAUAUUCUUCUUCAAACUUUGCCUAGCAAGGAAGUCAGCGGCUUAACCCUUUGCAGCUCUUUUCACUCGCCCAGGGACCGGGACCUCAGCACCGGGGAAUACUGGCUGGGGGGAAUGCAGGACAACACGGUUACUUGCCUGGGAAUUCUUUUUUGCCUGCCAUUUUAUAUUCUUGGUUAUUUUCACUUGAAACAGAUGAGAAUCGCCAACUCUGAGGAGCAGAUGGAGGGCUUUUCUGUGAUUAGGGGCUGGAAAAAUCCUCUUGGCAAAGCAGAUCGCUGGGGACUCACCUGUGGUCCCUCUCUGUCACCGUGUCUGCAAACUCAUCUGCAUGGCACAAAUUCCUCUCAUAUGCACAUAUACAGAGCUUCUGCACUUUCCCCAGCGUGGUGUGGUUAAAAGUACAAUUCCAAAAGUGCCAUUUCACUCAGAUCUCCAGAAUCAGCUCUUUUACAGGUUAUUAACUACAACAGAGAAAGGAGCAAGUGAGAAAGAAACAUACUUUCAGGAAAGAAAGAAAGGAAAAAAAGCCCUUUUCACACAUGCACUUUGAAUUCAAAGGAAAUAUUUACCACCACCAAACUCCAGCAUGUCAGAGCACGUUUCCUCCUAAGCACAAGAAACCUUAAAACGGAGAGGAAAGCAUGUGCAAUUCAAAGAUGAAAUGAAGUGCUUGAAAGCUUUCCAAAGUGUGUACCACCAGCCCAGAGCCCGAUGUCAAGACAACAUCAAGACAACAGGGGAACAAGAUUAACAAACUCAAUUGGUUGCCUAGUAUUAAUUUAUCUAUAUUUUCAGUGCAUUAUGAUAUUUCUGUCACCCUUGUCUGCCCCCACCUCUUCCCCCCCCCCAAAAAAAAAAAAAAAAAAGAGGGGGAGACACACGACCUCUGCCUGCAGCUGGCAUUCCGGGAGGUCCUUUUAGAUCCCCUGUGGCCACGCUGUAGGAAAAAUGGAGGGGCAGGUAGAUGUAUGAAUGGUAAUUUCAGUGCUUUCUUCAUUAAAUGUGUAAGAUAAGGCUGGACAAGGGAGGAGAUGAAUCCUACAGUAAGCAAAAAGACAGGAAAAAAAAUAUAUUCUCCUCCCAUCCACAUUUCUAAUUUCCGCUUUAAAGCACGGCGGGCAAAUAAACCUCAUUUGAAGAACA
ensembl:lncRNA